AAAACAUCUCUAUUAGUUAUGAUUAAUAGUAUAAUCUGCUCAAUGAAAUAUUAAAUAGCCGCAAUAUGUGCUAAGGUAGUGUAAUAAUUUGUCUUUUAAUUAAAGACCAUAUGAAAGAUUUAACACUUUUGUUUAUUUAAAAUUUUAAAUAUUUAAGUUAUUUUAAUUGUAAAAAAACAAUUAUAAAUAAAAAAGACGACAAGACCCUAUUGAACUUAACUUUAGUUUAACUGGGGUAGUUAUUUAAUUAUUAAUUUAAUUAAAGUAUAAUCAAAUGAGAUCUAUUAUAAUUAAUUUACAGAUUAAGUUACCAUAGGGAUAACAGUGUAANUAGUUUUUAUAAGGUCUUAUUUUAAAAAUAGAUUGCAACCUCGAUGUUGAAUUAAUAAUCUAAUUUAAGCAAUAACAAAUAAAGAAAGUCUGUUCGACUUUUAAACAAUUACAUGAUCUGAGUU
rnacentral:rRNA from 1 species